GAAAUUCGUAGGAAUUGAAGCCCUUAUUUAUCUUACUUGGCCCAUGCAGCCCCUUUUUCAAAUUAAGGGAGGUAUUAACUUGAUCAAAAUUAUAAAAUUUAAACAUAAAUUUAAUUGAAAUUUUAUUUUUUAAAAGUUUUAUAAUCACGUCUAAAAGCUCAAUAAAAAGAUAAAAAUAUUAGCAAACAAAUUAUGAAAUUAUGUAUCCUUUAUACGCUUCAUGAUAUGGCUGAUUUGUUCUGUGACUUUGUUAACCUUGCAAAUAAAAAUGUUUUUAUUUUUUCAAAGACAGUAAUUUUUCUAUAUAGAAGAAUAGGUUUAAUGGCUGAUUUAGAAUAUAAGAGAAUAAAUUUAGAAUAUGUUUAAUCACUGAUCAAGAAUGUACAUAGAGCCUCUAUGCAACAAUCAACUCUCUCUAGAACUUCUAGAAAGAGAAAAUUUUCCUGUGAGUUUUUGAAAUUUUGAUUUUCUCGUUUUAGCUGAGGUUGCUCCUGGGGGCUUCCUCUGCCUUCUGGGUUAGGGAUGGCAUCUCCUCCAACUAGACUGGGC
rnacentral:misc_RNA from 1 species